CCAGGGGAGCAAACGGGAUUAGAUACCCCGGUAGUCCUGGCAGUAAACGGUGCUCAUUAGACGUGGGCGGAUUCGACCCCGCCCGUGUCGAACCUAACGGAUUAAAUGAGCCGCCUGGGAAGUACGGUCGCAAGAUUAAAACUCAAAGAAAUUGACGGGGGCCCGCACAAGCGGUGGAGUAUGUGGCUUAAUUCGAUGCAACGCGAAGAACCUUACCUGGCCUUGACAUGCUGAGUUCAGGCGUGGAAACACGCUGGCCCGCAAGGGCGAUCUGCACAGGUGCUGCAUGGCUGUCGUCAGCUCGUGUCGUGAGAUGUUGGGUUAAGUCCCGCAACGAGCGCAACCCUCGUGACUAGUUAAUCCCGGGCAACCGGAUUCUGGUCAGACUGCCCUGUGAAACGGGGAGGAAGGUGGGGACGACGUCAAGUCCGUAUGGCCCUUACGGCCAGGGCUGCACACGUACUACAAUGCUCACUACAGAGGGACGCAAGACCGCAAGGUGGAGCCAAUCCCUAAAAGGUGAGCCCAGUUCGGAUUGGAGGCUGCAACUCGCCUCCAUGAAGCCGGAAUCGCUAGUAAUGGCGCAUCAGCUACGGCGCCGUGAAUACGUUCCCGGGCCUUGUACACACCGCCCGUCACAUCAUGAAAGCCGGUCUUACCCAAAGUCGUCUUUGACGCCCAAGGUAAGGCUGGUGAUUGGGAUGAAGUCGUAACAAGGUAGCCGUAGGGGAACCUGCGGCUG
rnacentral:rRNA from 1 species